UGGUCAAGUCUCCUUUUAAAUAUCAAUUGCGAGUUUGUCACAAUGGUUUGUGUAUCCAGAGAGAAAGAUGAGAGUGGUCAUGUCCGCGUUUUGGUCAUACCCCGUAUCCGAAUCCUGUCGGUAUGUGCACGUUUUUGUGGUCUCUUAAAAAAUCCACGUAGACGCGAGAAGUUUCCAUGUUGACGCGAGAAGUUGGCCCGCGGUCGAGUCGAUAUGCCGCUUUUCCGCGUGCGUGAUUGGCCGAUGCGUGCGUGCGGUCGAUGAUGCGGCAAUCGAGAUCGCGCUGCGAGUUUCGCGUUUGUAUGUACAUAUGUAUGUGUCUGUAUGUGUCGUGUGAUGUGAUAGCUGGCAUCGGUUGCGCGAGGUUAGUAGGAUGAUACGAGAUGCAAGUAAAAAUAUCGUAAUUGCCUACAUGUAUCAAAAAUCUAACGAUUGACCAUACGUUCGCUCGCGUCGUCAUCUCUUUACGACGAUCGGUUACAUAUACGAAGAAGUAUUCUUAUACUCGUUUUGCUCGGUCUUGCUCGAUCGGUUAAUGGUACCAGUGGCUAAGUAACUAGGUUGCGUUGUCGCUAAUCGCCAACCGCUAUUAACAUUGUUACAUUACACCUGACAAGAGCUAUUAACUCCCAUCAUGUAACAUGACGCAUACCGACGCAAGAACUACACGAUUAUGGAACGUGAUAUGAUUAGUCUACGCUCGUUGUUAAGACUGUUUGCUAUCGACAUAAGAAUAAUACGAGUUGUUUAAGAAAUCGUCAUUUUUCUUAAACACAUUUAAGCGUACAACAAUAUACAAUAUUGAUUUACUAUUAUUGAUUGAUUGGCUUAUUCUCGAGCCUUUGCUAUAAUAAUAAUUGUUUGACCGCAUAACCAUCAUUUGAAAUAAUUAA